CCUUAUCUCCAGCUUCCUCAGCUUAGAACAGCCGUCAAGCACGCACUGCAUACCCCAGUCACUGCUUCCAGCAAAAGCCACUGAAAGUGUCUCAAGGUUUUUAGCAUACUUCCCAAUAUACUCAAAUGUCUGGUCAGUUAACAGCCCAGAAACAGAAAGCCUCUGGAGCUUUGCACAAGUCUUGACCACAAGGUUUUUAGCAUAUUUCCCGAUAUACUCAAAGGUCUGGUCAGUUAACAGCCCAGAAACGGAGAGCCUCUGGAGCUUUGUACAAGUCUUGACCACUGCACCAAAAGCCUCAUCCAUGGGUUCAUUUGUCAGGUAAUCUGGUUG
rnacentral:lncRNA from 1 species